rnacentral:misc_RNA from 1 species
UGAUGGAUCAUUCAUGUGAGUUGUUGUCAACAGUUGCCUUGGGUUUUAAUCACUGGAACAAAUCGUGGUGUCUUGCGCUUCACGUAGUACGUCUUAUUUUUUCCGGAAUACGCUUUUGGCGGUGGAUGUCUUGGGUCUUGUCUCGAUGAAGAACGCAGCUAGCUGCGACAAGUAAUGUGACUUGCAACUUUCCGUAAAUUAUUGAAUUUUUGAACGCAAAAGACAUUCUCGAACAAUGUUCUAGAGUAUGUUCACUUCAGUGUUUUAGCCUACGUGCUUUUGUCGUGCUUAUUUGGCACGUAUGGUUAGAGGCUGCAUGUUGCGGCUUCUCAAGCUUUUUGGUGUUUAAUAUGGUAUAACCGAACCAAGUCUGGUAGCAAUUAAAGCCUGAAGUUGGGCAAGUUUACCCACUGAAUUUAAGCAUAUUAUUAAGCGGAGGAAGCAAAACUAACAAGGAUUCCUUUAGUAACGGCGAGUGAACCAGGAUGCGCUGAAACUGGAAAUCGGCAUCAACUGCCGAAUUGUAGUCUAGCGAAUUGGGUGUCGCGACUUUUUCGGGAUAAUUCUUUUGGAAGAGAGUUUCGAGGAGGGUGAGAGUCCCGUUGUUGCCCGAGGAAGCUGCGUUUGGUCCAAUUUGUGCGAGUCACGCUCUUUGAGAUUGAAGCGUUAAUCAGGUGAUAAAUUUCAUCUAAAGCUAAAUAUUGACAAGAUCCCGAUAGUGAAAAAGUACCGUGAGGGAAAGAUGAAAAGAACUUUGAAAAGAGAGUUAAAAGGAACUGAAACCGCCGAAUAUGGAAGUAGAAAGCUGCUGUUAGGCGUUUUGUCCUGUUGAAGCAAUCCCCUGUUUUUUUCAGCUAAAACGUUUCUACUUGUAGCGUUGACAUCGCGUUAGCUGUGUGGUCCCAUCCGAUUGGUUUGCACGACACAGUUUGCUUGGCGAUGUCGACGUUUCUCUUGGGCUUGUGCUUGUACAAGUUGCAAUCGGUUAGCCGUUUGUUAAGCGACACGUGGUUUUCUGUCCCGUCUUGAAACAAGGAGUCCAGCUUGUGUGCGAGUGCAACGGUGAAAAGCCACUGCGCAGAAGGAAAGUGAUUGUUAGGCGGGACACCCUUCACUAGCAUCCGGUUUCAUCGACUGAGUUAGAGCACGCACGCUGGGACCCGAAAGAUGGUGAACUAUGCCGGAGUAGAGUGAAGCCAGAGGAAACUCUGGUGGAGGCUUGCAGCGGUACUGACGUGCAAAUCGUUCGUCAGACUUUGGUAUAGGGGCGAAAGACUAAUCGAACUAUCUAGUAGCUGGUUUCCUC